CCUUUGCCGGCGACCGGCGCACGGGUGAGUAACACGUAUGCAACCUGCCCUCUUCAGGGGGACAACCUUCCGAAAGGGAGGCUAAUCCCGCGUAUAUCGGUUUCGGGCAUCCGAGAUCGAGGAAAGAUUCAUCGGAAGAGGAUGGGCAUGCGGCGCAUUAGCUAGACGGCGGGGUAACGGCCCACCGUGGCGACGAUGCGUAGGGGUUCUGAGAGGAAGGUCCCCCACACUGGUACUGAGACACGGACCAAACUCCUACGGGAGGCAGCAG
rnacentral:rRNA from 1 species